AUUAUGGAGAGUUUGAUCCUGGCUCAGGACGAACGCUGGCGGCAUGCCUAAUACAUGCAAGUCGAG
rnacentral:rRNA from 1 species